rnacentral:lncRNA from 1 species
UUUUAUACCCAGCUUGCCCCUGUUAAACGUUACAGGAAAAAACGUAAUUACAAAGAAUGCCACUGCCACGUCAGCAAAGCCGCGUCGCCACGUCAGAAAUCGCUGACGUGUAUUAAUGAACUCAGCCGUCGAGCGAUAUAGCGGCAGUGACGGCUGAGUUACGGUAUGUUGCGGCUGAUUUAAGAAAAAUGGCUGAGUUAUGAGCAAACGGCUGACUUACGAGUAUAACCCAGCCUGGAGUUACGGCUGACUUACUGAAAUCUGUCUGAGUUAUGAUAAAAUGGCUGACUUUCGAGCAUAACCCAGCCUAAGUUACGGCUGAGUUUUCACCC